ACCAGUCAAACUGGUAGUCUGGCCGGUUCGGGUUUACCUUUGAACCGAAGAAGGAUGUAAACCGAUUAAAACCGGCAGGUUCCUCACAAACCGGAUGAAACCAACCAAAACUGGCCAGUUCGAUGCAGCAUUUGAAUAUUGGAUUGAAUAUUCAAAAAUGCUUGCAAUGAGUAUUGAACCCAUGUCUCCUUGCUAGGCAAGGAUAAGGAAUGCCACCAAGCUAGUGUGUUCAUUUGGAAAUUUAUGUGCUAAUUAUUUUAUAUAUUAUAUACAUACACAACUAAAUUA